CUGCUCCCUUCAUAAUACAUUCUAGUUUUUUGGAAUAAGAUGCACGCCAUUGUUGAUGCCCAGGAUCAUGGCUGGUGUGGCAGAGAACUAGACACGCACGCACACCACGCCCGACACAUUGCACACACACACGACACCCAGCACGCAGACCAUGCCCCGAGACACAUGCAUACACGGACACGACGUUGGACACGCAUGCUGCUGACCAGCACGCGUGUGCACAAAUGCAUCCCUGCCGGCCCGAGAGAGCCGCUGCAUGCCGCACACGCACAACCAUUGUCGCCGCCAGAUCCUUACAAUAGGGGGAAAGACUGAAAAGUGAGAGGAAGAUGGAGACUACCUGAUCCACCGCCGACGCCCUCAAUCUUCGCUAAUGAACUCGAUGGGCGCUGUCCAGCGGAAGAUGGAGAUCCUCGACUCAUGGCUCCUGACGGCUCAUCUGCUGAAGCAACAGCGAGGCAGGCUCAAAAUCAUGGAUGCAGGCGUGACGGCGCGCAUAUUGGCCGGAAGAGCGUCCGUGCAGCUGCCGCUCUAUCUGUUCUCGCAUCCGUUUGGGUCGCUGCGGUCGGGCAGCCGCCGAUUCGUUCCAUCUCGCAAUCACCUGAGCCGUCACGGCCGCCGCUCCGGUUUCGUGGUCUAUCCUCUCAGCCGUCGCUACAGAGCCAUCUCUCGAUCUCGCUGAUUCAUGGCGAUUUGUAACCUUUAGAAUCGCUGGAAUUACAAGGGAUUAAUUUAGAUUUAUAGUGCCAUAUAGGGAUUUGUUAUAGAGUUGUAUACAAACACGUCAAGUAUGAAUAUUAUUUGUGUGGAGGAGUUUGUGUGCGAGUAAA